rnacentral:rRNA from 1 species
CCUACGGGGGGCUGCAGUGGGGAAUAUUGGACAAUGGGGGCAACCCUGAUCCAGCCAUGCCGCGUGAAUGAUGAAGGCCUUCGGGUUGUAAAGUUCUUUUGACGGGGAGGCGGUACCCGUAGAAUAAGCUCCGGCUAACUUCGUGCCAGCAGCCGCGGUAAUACGAAGGGAGCUAGCGUUGUUCGGAAUUACUGGGCGUAAAGGGCGCGUAGGCGGCUCGACAAGUUGGAUGUGAAAGCCCUGGGCUCAACCCGGGAAUUGCAUUCAAGACUGUCUUGCUUGAAUUCGGUAGAGGUUGGUGGAAUUCCCAGUGUAGAGGUGAAAUUCGUAGAGAUUGGGAAGAACACCCGUGGCGAAGGCGGCCAACUGGACCGAAUGACGCUGAGGCGCGAAAGCGUGGGGAUCAAACAGGAUUAGAUACCCUUGUAGUC